GAUGAACGCUGGCGGCGUGCCUAAUACAUGCAAGUAGAACGCUGAAGGAAGGAGCUUGCUCUUUCCGGAUGAGUUGCGAACGGGUGAGUAACGCGUAGGUAACCUGCCUGGUAGCGGGGGAUAACUAUUGGAAACGAUAGCUAAUACCGCAUAACAGUAGAUGUUGCAUGAUAUCUACUUAAAAGGUGCAAUUGCACCACUACCAGAUGGACCUGCGUUGUAUUAGCUAGUUGGUGAGGUAACGGCUCACCAAGGCGACGAUACAUAGCCGACCUGAGAGGGUGAUCGGCCACACUGGGACUGAGACACGGCCCAGACUCCUACGGGAGGCAGCAGUAGGGAAUCUUCGGCAAUGGACGGAAGUCUGACCGAGCAACGCCGCGGGAGUGAAGAAGGUUUUCGGAUCGUAAAGCUCUGUUGUAAGAGAAGAACGAGUGUGAGAGUGGAAAGUUCACACUGUGACGGUAUCUUACCAGAAAGGGACGGCUAACUGCGUG
rnacentral:rRNA from 1 species